rnacentral:rRNA from 1 species
CUACGGGCCGCUCCAGUGAGGAAUAUUGCACAAUGGGGGGAACCCUGAUGCAGCAACGCCGCGUGGAGGAUGACGCAUUUCGGUGUGUAAACUCCUUUUAUAUGCCAAGAAAAUGAUGGUAGCAUAUGAAUAAGCACCGGCUAACUCCGUGCCAGCAGCCGCGGUAAUACGGAGGGUGCAAGCGUUACUCGGAAUCACUGGGCGUAAAGGACGCGUAGGCGGGUUGGAAAGUCAGGUGUGAAAUCCUACAGCUUAACUGUAGAACUGCACUUGAAACUUCUAAUCUAGAGUAUGGGAGGGGGAGAUGGAAUUAGUGGUGUAGGGGUAAAAUCCGUAGAUAUCACUAGGAAUACCUAAAGCGAAGGCGAUCUCCUGGAACAUUACUGACGCUAAGGCGUGAAAGCGUGGGGAGCAAACAGGAUUAGAUACCCGCGUAGUC